rnacentral:rRNA from 1 species
AACGCUAGCUACAGGCUUAACACAUGCAAGUCGAGGGGCAUCAGGGUAGCAAUACCGCUGGCGACCGGCGCACGGGUGAGUAACACGUAUCCAACCUACCGUUAACUCGGGGAUAGCCUUUCGAAAGAAAGAUUAAUACCCGAUAGUAUAUUUUCUUCGCAUGUUGAAAAUAUUAAAGAAUUUCGGUUAUCGAUGGGGAUGCGUUCCAUUAGGCAGUUGGCGGGGUAACGGCCCACCAAACCUACGAUGGAUAGGGGUUCUGAGAGGAAGGUCCCCCACAUUGGAACUGAGACACGGUCCAAACUCCUACGGGAGACAGCAGUGAGGAAUAUUGGUCAAUGGACGAAGGUCUGAACCAGCCAAGUAGCGUGAAGGAUGACUGCCCUAUGGGUUGUAAACUUCUUUUAUAUGGGAAUAAAGUUCUCCACGUGUGGAGUUUUGUAUGUACCAUUAUGAAUAAGCAUCGGCUAACUCCGUGCCAGCAGCCGCGGUAAUACGGAGGAUGCGAGCGUUAUCCGGAUUUAUUGGGUUUAAAGGGAGCGUAGGUGGACUGGUAAGUCAGUUGUGAAAGUUUGCGGCUCAACCGUAAAAUUGCAGUUGAUACUGUCAGUCUUGAGUACAGUAGAGGUGGGCGGAAUUCGUGGUGUAGCGGUGAAAUGCUUAGAUAUCACGAAGAACUCCGAUUG